rnacentral:rRNA from 1 species
GCACAAGCAGCGGAGCGUGUGGUUUAAUUCGAUGCUACACGAAGAACCUUACCAGGGUUUGACAUACAAGUAGUAGGAAAGGAAACUGGACCGACCCUUCGGGGAGCUUGUACAGGUGCUGCAUGGCUGUCGUCAGCUCGUGUCGUGAGAUGUUCGGUUAAGUCCGCUAACGAGCGCAACCCUCGCUGUGUGUUACAAGUGUCACACGGAACUGCCGGUCAUAAACCGGAGGAAGGUGGGGAUGACGUCAAGUCCUCAUGGCCUUUAUGACCAGGGCUACACACGUACUACAAUGGCCGGUGCAAAGGGCAGCGACACAGCGAUGUGAAGCCAAUCCCGAAAAGCCGGUCUCAGUCCGGAUUGGAGUCUGCAACUCGACUCCAUGAAGUUGGAAUCGCUAGUAAUCGCGGAUCAGCACGCCGCGGUGAAUACGUUCCCGGGCCUU